GCAAUCUUUCCUUCAACCCACUUUGUGAAGGACAAUCUGACUGUUUUACCUGAUGAGUUCCGGAAAUGACCCUGUGGAGUCAAAUAAGAUGUCCUAAGAAGAUGAAAGAUUCUGGCGGUUGGCAGAGGAGAUGCCUAACCUGCAGGAGUACCUGGAGAAAGAGGACAUCGAAAAGAAGCUUCUGAGCCAAACCAAUGAGGAG